rnacentral:snRNA from 1 species
GUCAUAGUAGUGGAAGUAUCAUAGCCAAUGAAGUUAAUCUGAGGUGUGAUUAUUGCUAGUUGUUAACUAGAGAAACUUUACUACAAGGAUCGGUCUUUUCCUCUUUAUUGCGACAUUCAGGGAACAUACUCUCCCAAUUUUUCCAUUUUGGCCCCUUUACAGCCAU